rnacentral:rRNA from 1 species
GACGAACGCUGGCGGCGUGCUUAACACAUGCAAGUCGAACGGAAAGGCCCUGCUUUUGUGGGGUGCUCGAGUGGCGAACGGGUGAGUAACACGUGAGUAACCUGCCCUUGACUUUGGGAUAACUUCAGGAAACUGGGGCUAAUACAGGAUAGGAGCUCCUGCUGCAUGGUGGGGGUUGGAAAGUUUCGGCGGUUGGGGAUGGACUCGCGGCUUAUCAGCUUGUUGGUGGGGUAGUGGCUUACCAAGGCUUUGACGGGUAGCCGGCCUGAGAGGGUGACCGGCCACAUUGGUACUGAGAUACGGCCCAGACUCCUACGGGAGGCAGCAGUGGGGAAUAUUGCACAAUGGGCGGAAGCCUGAUGCAGCAACGCCGCGUGCGGGAUGACGGCCUUCGGGUUGUAAACCGCUUUCGCCUGUGACGAAGCGUGAGUGACGGUAAUGGGUAAAGAAGCACCGGCUAACUACGUG